UACCCUGAUCCAACAUCGAGGUCGUAAACCCGCCUGUCGAUAGGGGCUCUUGAGGCGGAUUGCGCUGUUAUCCCCUAGGGUAACUUGGUUCAUUGAUCAAAAUAUUGGGUCAAUUGAUGUCAAUUUAUUGGUGCAUAGAGUUGUUGCUCUUUGCUCAGGAUUUAUAGUCCUAUUCAAUAUGGAGGUUUUAUUUUGCUCCGUGGUCACCCCAACCUAAAACUAAAAAUCAUGAAGCUAAAAUAGAUGUUAGUAUUCUGAAAUAAAAAUUAUUGAAGCAGGUGUUAUUUAGUUUAAAG
rnacentral:rRNA from 1 species